GUAUCAAUAACUAGGUUGCACAGAAGUGCCUGCCCUUUUACAAAGAGUAUUUUGGUAUUGGUUACGUAUUGCCCAAGCUUGACCUCAUUGCCAUCCAAGACUUUGUUAUAGGAGCUAUGGAAAACUGGGGUUUGGUCACCUACAGGGAGACCUGCUUGCUAAUAGAUCCAAAAGACUCUUCUGCUGCAGCUAAACAGUAUGUGGCACUGGUUGUUGGUGAGUUGAAUGUGGUACUGACUUGAUUAACUUUUUUUUCAUUAAUUUUUAUUACAUGUAAUUUACAAACAAUAAGUUAUACAUGUAUAUAGGAAAAACUUACACAAUACUUAAUUACAUUACAAUUGAUGAUAGUUAAGAUUACUUACAUUGUUUAGUUUACAUAGCUAAAACAACACUGUUUGUUAAUGUCCAGUUUUUUUUUGUUUUGUUUUGUUUUUUGUUUUAACAUUCCAAACAAAACUUAAAGCAGCUCCACUAAUGCUGCACUUGCUGCAUAUGUACAGUAUGGUAAGCUGAGCAUUAUAUUACUGACCAAAAAAUAAAACAUGAACACUAUUUACAUCAUUUACUUAGUUAACAAAACAAAGAAAACACAUCACCAAUGCAUGUUAUAACAUAACUAAAGCAAAGCGCGCGCU